ACAAAUAAUCUGCAGUAUCAUAGAGUCUCAGCUUACAAGAAAAAUGUUUUACUAAAUUCUAAAUUAACAACUUCAAUGUAUUUUAUAAAUCUGAAUUAAUGUUUACAGAAUUUGCUUGUGAAAUGAGGUCAAGUUCUAUUGGAAACAUCCAGUCACCUUUUAUUUUUCUCAAGUACACAACGCCUCGCUUCUUCAGAAUUUUCUAUUAUUUCAUCAAUUCAACUGGACUACUUUGGUCACUCGUUCAUUGUUGAUAAUCAAUUCAAGAAGUAGGUCAUGUAAUUUUACUAGCGGACGUGUCACUGAACAUCUUAUGCUUUGUGCAUGUACAGGAGGUCAUUUUGUCCAUUCAUAAUAUACUGCCAACUUGAUGUUGACAGCUGUAGUCCUGUGUUUAUCAUUCUGCAUUUAAUACUUUCACCGUACUACUGGAAUAUACAAAGGAUUCUUAACAUUUUUUUGGGUGUUUUUCAACGUUUUGAACGGUUACUCUUGGAUGAUUAAAUAAGUAGAAAUUUCGUUCCGCAUGUAAACACAUAUUCUUAUCAUUUUUAUCGAUCAAAACUUAUCUUUACCCUAUAUGGAAGAAAGGUUACAUGCAUAGUUCUUGAUUUCAAUUUUACACCUAUUCGUUUAGGUAGUUUACAGAUCAAUCUGAAAUAUUCUAGAAGCUAUAUGUAGUAAAAUAUAUGUUUUUAUAUUCAAUCUAUUAUUAACAUUGACUUUCAUUCAUCCAUCUAAAGCUAUUUUACGAUCCAGGUAAAUCCGACAUCUAUUUUGAGCCUUGAUGAUGAAAUCUAUUUAUAAAGCUGAAAGUUUCCGAAAAUCUGCCUUAAAACGAGCCAUUGUGCAUAUUAUUGCGCAAAAUCAGUUCACCAUUCGAAGAUCAUACAUAAUAAACGUUGUAUAAGGUAAAUUCUGUGAUAUCAAUUCAACGAACAAAAUUUCAACAAAAGAUACCUUUGAAGAAAAACAACUUGAAGAAAAAUGGGAAGAGACACAGAUAGAUUAAGGAUAAUCAGUAUGAAUGCUUCUGGUAGGAAAGGAAAACAGUAUCAAAAGUAUCGACAUUCUUACCUGAACGAAAUUAUCGGACACGAUGAGCCCGAUAUAUUAUUUUUGCCGGGGGACAAACCUGAUAUGUCAUCAUCAGUGUUAACUGAUUAUCGUCAAGCACAAGUCGCUCACAAUCACGAGACUGUACUUUUGUACGAUACGAAGAGGUUGCGAUUGGAAACCCCAAAUUGGUACGAUCUGAUACCAUCCUUAGUUGUUCCUGGCAUACAACAGGGCAAACUAAUGUAUCCCUUAGUCGAUAUACUGGCUCCUAAACCGACUCAACAUAUCGUCAAGCAGUUUCAUUGUAUCAGUUGGCAUUGGGAGCUGACUCAAACAACAUCACAGGAACUCUAUCAGUUUGCGUCUCGUUACCUAUGGCUGGCGCAAUAUCUUGGAUGGACUUCUGAAGUGGAGAUCUUGAUAGGAGGCGAUUUUAAUUUGCCAAUUAAAAAGAUACAAGAGCUUCUAGGUGAACAUAAUGCCCUCGUCCAAAAGAAAGUUGAAGAGAUCAAACCAUUUUUCAGGGAAAUGGGAUACAUGGAUGACAUGACGGAUAAUAUUCAACGACCAGGACGUCGGCUACGACAACUUAAACUCCACAAGUGUAAAUCUUCAUCAGGAGUUAACCAGGAAACAGAUUACUUUGUUGCAUCAAAGGAAAUGCAGCUAUGUAAUACCGAAAUGAUGACGACUUCUACCCUUCCAGGCAGAUGUACAAAUCUGACUGUAACCAGGCCCGCUGUACAUAGUUACUGUCCUGCGCCAACGAAGACAGAAAUGUGUAUUCCAGCAAGGCCACCCAGACACAACGGUGGUUAAAAUCAAUUCUACAUAGCUUUUGGUAUUUUGUUGUAUCCAAUUUAUAUCGUUAUAUGGUGUGAGUAACUGUUUUUAUGGCUUUCUUAAAAUAAAUUAUUGAAAAAUGGGGGAAAACCCGCACCCCCCAAAAAAGAAUAAAAAAUAUAAAACAAUAAAUUAAUAUUUAAAUUUUUCACCCCUAGGUUUGUAAAUAAAGAUCCUUCAUUUUUUCUCUCUCUUUUGAUAUUUUUUUGGGUAUCCAUUUUAUAUCGUUAUAUGGUGUGAGUAAUUGUUUUAAUGGCUUUCUUAAAAUAAUAUAUCGAAAAAUGGGGGAAAACCCGCACCCCCAAAAAAAGAAUAAAAAAUAUAAAAAAAUAAAUAAAUAUUUAAAUUAUCACCCCUUGGUUUGUAAAUGAUGACCCUUCAUUUUUUCUCUCUCGUAUGUAUAUUGGAAAAUUGUUUAUUUACAUGGAGUUUAACCUAUUGAAGUUGAAAAAUACCCCUUCCUGACCGCAAGGUUUUAUUUUCAUUUUUCGAGUUCACGGUUUUGAUUUUUCUUAUAGAACAAAUUAAAUCGAGUGAACAAUUUUUCGUUAAGUUCAAGAAAAUAAACAACACGCGAAAAUUGUCAACUUUAUAAUAGAUGAAAGUGUAAUUUAUUUGUUAAUAUUCAGGUGUUGUUUUCAAUAUCACAAACACACAUUUUCAAACCUCAACAUUCCUCAGGAGGCAAAACACAAAGUUUGAGUAUUAAUACAUAUCCCACUACUUUGUUUUGUUAAAAAAACAUAUCUAUCUUUGUGAAUUGUCACUGCUAUUUACAUCGAUUUAUGUAUAUCCUUUUUCUAUUACAUUACAUUUAUGUUAGUAUAAAGGUAUGCAUGAAGUUUCGAUAUCAGAUUACUGGUCCUUUCAGAAUCUCUUCCAUUGAUUGUAAUUAUAAUAAUUUGAUUGAGUUAUAAGUGUAUGAAAUAAAAAAAGUAGAAAAAUCAAAAUAAAAAAUACAAAAUGAAUAAAUAAGUUCAAAAUCCUACAUUUGAUAUUUGUUUCUACUUCAAAGUGAAUGAAUACUAUGAACCCUCCAUCUCCGGAGAUAAAUGUUAAGACCAAAGGUUAUAUAUUGAUGUAAACUGUAAAUAUUAACUGAUUUUUUUUGGGGAUGAAAUGAAUUGAGGAAAUUGAGAUACUUUAGAAAAUAUAUCUGCUAGUUUUACUUACUACUUAAUCAAGUCAACUACAUGUAUUAUCAAUUGUUAAAAACUAGGAUUCUUGCCUUCUAAUCUCUAAAAUAUUAAUUAGUUUGAUUGUCAAAUAAGUAAGAGGUGAUCACAGUGUAUUUUAAUUUUUUUACACCUUCACACUUAUGGCAACACAUAACAAUAGUUUAUAGAACAUGCUGUAGUAAAAAUAAAAUGGGUUAUUUGUUAAAAGUAUGGAAGGACAGACAAAGCUUUUAAAUGUUUUGAAGCAUUUAACUCAUUUUGUAAAAAAAGUGGCUUAUUUUAUCUUUGUUAAUUAUUUCUAAUUAAAAUCCAAACGACAUAAACUUUAAAUAUAAGUAUAGCAAUAUUGUAACUAUUCUAUGCGAACCAUCUUACAUUGUAAAUAAAACAUGUUUUCAUUA